rnacentral:tRNA from 13 species
AGGGUUCGAGGACCCGGGUUCGAUUCCCCGCGCGUCC